UACGUAGGGGCCGAGCGUUGUCCGGAGUUAUUGGGCGUAAAGCGCGCGCAGGCGGCCUCGCGCGCCCGACGUGAAAGCCCCCGGCUUAACCGGGGAGGGUCGUUGGGGACGGCGGGGCUUGAGGGCGGGAGAGGUCGGUGGAAUUCCCGGUGUAGUGGUGAAAUGCGUAGAGAUCCGGAGGAAUACCAGAGGCGCAAGCGGCUUGCUGGGUCUAUAUUGACGCUCAGACACGAAAGCAUGGGGAGCGAACGGG
rnacentral:rRNA from 1 species